GCCCCGGUAGCUCAGGGGAUAGAGCGUCCGCCUCCUAAGCGGAAGGUCCCACGUUCGAAUCGUGGUCGGGGCACCA
rnacentral:tRNA from 2 species